GGGUCGUCCUGGUGCACGAGGGCGAGGUCGUGGCGGUCGGCGUCCACCGCGAGCUGGUGCGCGGUGAGCCGCGGUACCGGGCCGUGGUGACCCG
rnacentral:tRNA from 1 species